rnacentral:telomerase_RNA from 1 species
UGCCGAUGACAGAAGCCAGAAAUUGGGCUGUUUUACAGUCCAAUAGCACAAGAACGAAAGAAAGGAGAAAGAGGAAGAGGGAGGGGGGAGGGGGAGCGAACAUCUGCAGCAUUCAACCUAUAUUCGAUCUAGCGCCCGCCUUCUACCACCGCAACCGUAUUCAGAUUCCUUGACUUGUUACAAAGCCCCCUUCCGUCUUGUGGCGGUAGCGCGGGCUGGUUUCUUGUCGGUUUCAGAAAGCGGGAUAGGGGGAGAAAAGGUAGCCUAUUAAAGGGCUUUAAAGUGGUGAUGGACGAUCCUAACCCUAAGUUGUUUCAUGUAGAACAGACUACCUUUUCCGCCUCGAGCCCGAUUUCGGGGUUGGAGGCGGGAGGGUGGUAGCCCAUCCGCAUAAGCUGCUCUUUUUGGAGCGUAGCUUAUGGGUUUGUGCGGACUCUACACAAUCGCAUACCCUUUCUGAAGGGGCAAUGCGAUGGACAUUUGAUUGAUGCUAUAUGGUUGUAGCUACAGAACGGGGAGCUUUGUUAUGGAUGUUUCUUUGCCCACCAGAAAACGGGGAAAACAGAAAGCCGAAUGCCCAGAUAGCCACCCACCUCCUCCCUCCUCCCUCCUCACCCCUUCUCCUGUCCUCCUCUGUUCGCGUGCGGUUCUUGAGGCGCCACCACAACCCAAUCCUUACCCUUGGUCUUCUCCCCACCUCUUCUCAGCAACAAGCCAACGCUAGAGGGAUGGAGCAAACACAGCUCUGCGGAGUCCAAAUCCCCUUGCCUAACUUUCAGAAGGGAGGCAGGGGAUUGAAGUGUAUAGAGCUUUGUGCUCGAUUCUUCCAUCCCUCAUUAGCGUUGAUGAAAGCUGCAGCGAGGAUGAUACGGGGGGGGGGAGGGGAUGAAUAGGGGGAUGGGAGGACGGUGGAAUAUGAGAGAUAUGAGAGUAGAUAAUUUUUCUUGCUUUUAGGAUA